GACGUAGGGCGCGAGCGUUGUCCGGAUUUAUUGGGCGUAAAGAGCUCGUAGGCGGCUUGUCGCGUCGACCGUGAAAACUUGGGGCUCAACCCCAAGCCUGCGGUCGAUACGGGCGGACUUGAGUGUUGCAGGGGAGACUGGAAUUCCUGGUGUAGCGGUGAAAUGCGCAGAUAUCAGGAGGAACACCGGUGGCGAAGGCGGGUCUCUGGGCAACUACUGACGCUGAGGAGCGAAAGCGUGGGGAGCGAACAGG
rnacentral:rRNA from 1 species